UUCAAUGGUAGCAAAAAUAAAUGUUCUGUCUCUUAUAAAAACUGGUUAACAGUUUUUUUCCUGGUGCUGGGUAUUGAAAUCAGGGCCUCACACAAGAGCAAGAGCUCUACCUCUGAAUCACACCCUAACCCCUGCUAGAAAACAUUUUUGAGCAUCUACUGUAUAUCAGAAGCUUCCAUUCAUUUUAUCUAAUUCUCAGAACAACAUCCAUUAUGUCAACCAGUUCUAGUUUAAAUUCAUGACCACAGAGCUCUAGAGGUCUCUCAAUGCUGCCAAGCAACCCUGCUACACUUCUCCAGUAUGCUCUCUCCCCCAUUUGCCAAAACAACUGUUUCACACAUUCUCUGCUCUCUGAAACUCUCCCACAUCCUCUCCCGCUUCUGCAGUCCCGCCCACCUCUUCCCAGAUCCCUCUCUGCCUCCCUCCGCUCUAGAGAGCCUUUCUGUUCACACACAGCUCUGCUCUGCCUUAAGGCCCUUGAAAUUCCCUCCCCUCUAAUUGGAAGGCUCCACACCCUGAUAUUCACAGGGCUAGUUCCUUCUUGUCUUCCUUGUCUCCCAGCUCAGCCCAAAUGUUAAAUUCUCAGGGAGACUUUCUUUGUGACCUACACAUGCCCCCACCCAGACUCCUUAUCGCGUCAACUUAUAUUAUUGUCUUCCAGGUAUUGGUCAAUAUUUGGUCAUGUCUUGCCAACUCAUUUCUCCCCCUUCUCCGUGUGAAGUCUCCAUGACUGUGGGGCCUUACAGACCUAUUUACUUUUGCAUUCUCAACAGCCAAAUUGGAGCCUGUCACAUUAUGAGCACUCAAAAAGGAUUUUUAAAAAAUGGGGUCUUGCUAUGUUGCUCAGGUUCACCUGGAAUCCUCAACUAAAAUUACCUUCCUGAUUUAGCUUCCUGAGUAGCUGAGACUAGAGGUGUGUGCCCUUGGGCCUAGCUAAAAAUGAAUAUAUACUGAAUAAAUUAUACCACCUUUUGGCAGAUGAGAACACGGAAGAUUAGAGAAUAUAAAUAAAUUGCUCAAGUUCACUCAGCUGGUAAAUGACAAUGUGGGUAAACCCAAGUCUAUUUUAGUCCAGGCCAAAUCCUCCUUCAUGUAGAAACCCUGUGCUAGGGCGAGUGUUUUAAAAGUGUCCGUGUUCGGGCUCUGAGGAGCAUUUGUGAAUGUGGAGAGCAUCUGAGACAGCACCAGAAUGAAUAGUCAAAUUCUGCCGGCAGAACACCAAGGAGAUGGGAGGACAUCUGCGUGGACAAAGCUCGCGGUGCUGUUCUGGCCACUGCAGACACAACAAUGCACGUGGCAUGCACAGUUCCUGCCCCCAGCCUUGCAGUCCUGCUGUCCUUUCUGGUCUUCAAGAUUUGGUUCUUAGCUCAAAGCCUCCUGAAUGCUGGGAUUACAGAUGUGCACCACCACACCAGGCUCCUAACUGCAUCUUACAAGCAUGUAUCAUAGCAAUCCAGUGCAAGUUGAGUUUUUAAAAAUGUGUUUGCUAUAAUAAUAAAAAUUUGAGAAUUUAAAAUUCAUUCUCAUCAUUGAAUUUUUUUUUUUAAGUUCAAUCAUGAUACACAAAUGUUUGCAAAACUCUGUGCCAGGUAUUAUUCUUCAAGCUAAAAAUACAAUGGUGAGUAAUAUAGGAUUCUAAUUCUGAAUGUUGGCAAUGGUCUUGAAUCCAAAGGGACUCAGCCUGCAAAAUAGAUGCUGUUUCACCUUGGCUGUGAACACAGAAAUAGUCAUCUACAGGAACUACGUUGCCACGAAGUUGGCUCCAAGAGGGGCAAGUUCUCAAGAAACGUUAGUAACACUAAGACCUUUCUAGGUUUAUGGAUCAGAAAUAGGAUAACAAUUACCAGAGCCAGAAGGAGGGGAAAAUGGGGAAUUGUCCAGUGGAUAUAGAAUUUCAGUUUUGCAACAUGGAAAACUUCUGGAAAUCUAUUGCACAACAACAUGAAUAUAACUAACACUA